ACGAAACCGGUAGGGGCGUGGCUCAUGGAUGGACGCUGAACAAGGCAACAUGCAGUGGUGAAUCCAUCUUGUAUCUUUGAUUUUAAAACGAAUGUAUCAGCGGUGAUUAUACCGCCAUCUUUGAAUGGUACUGAAGAGCCCAAUGCAGACAGUCAUCACAAACCUUGGGAACGCUUCAAGAAUCCUUUUGUGAUCAACAAUGAUUUAACAGUACACGCAUGCCAGGUUACCAUGACAAUGACGCCAGGAGGUGUGCAUCCAUGACAUCAUCGGGACCUGAUGGCGUGUGCGGACUGUUGGGUGGCGGUUUCAGCGUGGUCGUUUUCUGCCUCAUUUCUCCUUUAUU